GAUCAAGUGAAUAAGUGCAUGUGGUGGAUGCCUUGGCGAUUACAGGCGAUGAAAGACGUUAUAGCCUGCGAUAAGCCCCGGGGAGCUGGCAAAUAAGCUUUGAUCCGGGGAUUUCUGAAUG
rnacentral:rRNA from 1 species